rnacentral:rRNA from 1 species
UGGGGAAUUGUUCACAAUGGGCGCAAGCCUGAUGACGCAACGCCGCGUGGGGGAUGAAGGUCUUCGGAUUGUAAACCCCUGUCGAAUGGGACGAAAGACUCGCGAGUUAAUACUUCGCGGGAGUGACGGUACCGUUAAAGGAAGCCACGGCUAACUCUGUGCCAGCAGCCGCGGUAAUACAGAGGUGGCAAGCGUUGUUCGGAAUUACUGGGCGUAAAGGGCGCGUAGGCGGCCUACUAAGUCAGACGUGAAAUCCCCCGGCUUAACCUGGGAACUGCGUCUGAUACUGGAAGGCUUGAGUAUGGGAGAGGGAUGUAGAAUUCCAGGUGUAGCGGUGAAAUGCGUAGAUAUCUGGAGGAAUGCCGGUGGCGAAGGCGGCAUCCUGGACCAUUACUGACGCUGAGGCGCGAAAGCUAGGGGAGCAAACGGGAUUAGAUACCCAAGUAGUCCCUGAGCGGGCUGGCAAGGCGC